GCUACGGGCAGUGCUACGAGCAGUGCUACGAGCAGUGCUACGAGCAGUGCUCCUCAGCUGAACUGUAUCUGCUGCCUGUUUAACAGUGGGGAGAAGACAUUAUUAGGCGCCGUGCUCCUCCCUCUCCACAGCCAGGGAGCCUUAUCUGUCAGCCAUUAGUUAAUCAAGGCUGGUAACGUAAAAGUAGAGCAGAAAACUGGCACAGCGCGUGGGGCCAAAGGACAACCUCUGAGAGCUGAGCUGAGCAGAGCAGGAGGAGGGCAAGGACCCGGGAACCGACCAACUCCUCCACUCUAAACUCUACUACCAGGCUAGGCUGCUGCCUCACUCUACUCAACACUGGAUCAGGCUGCAAUUGUAUGAUGACAGCCGCCCAUUCCAUCGCAGAGAACAGGUCCUGUUUUGCAAGAAAGUUUCAAAGACAGAAGUCUAAACAAGACAUGCUGCCGACGUGGGAAAAGCUGGUAAGAGCAGAGCAUCGUGGGGCGGAGGAAUGUCAGAGUCAUAGAUCUUUCAUCCUCAAGGCCAAAAUAGCCACACACAUGCCUGAUCAUCUCCAUGCAUGGGAAGAAACGAUAAGCAACACCUCAUAUUAGCACUAAUACAGUCCAGUCCAACCCUGGCCAACGUGGUCCAAAUCUGGCAUCCAGACAUCAGUGGCCAAAGAUAUAUCGUUAGACAAUUACUACACGAGUAAGUAGGCUGUAUUAACUGAAAUUAAUUGGUAUUAACUCGCAAGUAGGAUUUCCUCACAAAAGAGUUGGUACAAACCAAUGUCAUAAGUAUAUUUAGGUACCGAAGGUAAAAAAUAGGGACAUUUCUUAUUGGCGUCACCAUGGAGUUUAUUGUAAGGGUAAUGAUGAUUGAAAAGGAUAUUGCAACGUCUAAAUAAUUAUUGGUCUGUGUUAACAAAGUUGACAAAAUGUUCACUACAAGAGCUUUAAGGCUGCUUGUGAUGGAAAAUGAAAGCAGUCGACUAAACUCAACUGUGUAGUUGGUGCCAAACAAUCCUAAAAGGCAUAUUAAGUUUCCCCAACAGGAUUCUCUUUUUAAGUCAACACCACUCAGAAAAGAUGAACUGAGCAACCAUAAGUCAACUUUCGGGAAUGACAAAAACAACCAGUUUUUCUACCUGUCCAAACAUUCAGCUUGAACCAAGAUCCAUUUUCAUGUCCCACUCCAGAAAAACUCCAUUGGUGCUUCAUUGAGUACAAUGCUGUUGUCUCAUAAAGCUAUGCCAGACCAGGAAAGUGAACCUGAUCUAGAACAGCAGAACUAAAAAGACGGAACAAUGCAUGAGAUUCUAAAGUGACCUUUUGGCCCAGGAUUUCCAAGAGCUUCCAAGAGUCCCUAUUCCUGGCAAAUUCCAUCCAUCCAAAUUCCAUCUUCUUCUUACUCAACACCACUUUAAGCUGUCAAGACCCAAACUCUAGUGUCAUUUAUCCUAGUGACGAGUUCACAACCAAAGCCAAAGACAUGGUGUUCUUUAAAAUAAAUAAAUAAAAUCAAAUGUUAUUUGUCACAUGCUUCGUAAACAACAAGUGUAGACUAACAGUGAAAUGCUUACCUACGGGCCCUUCCCAUCAAUGCAGAGAAAAAUGAUAGAAAAAAAUGAUGACACGAGGAAGAAAUACACAACGAGUAACAAUAACUUGGCUAUAUACAUGGGGUACAGCUAACGUUUGUCUUUCGGCAUUGUUCAUCCUGGGUUCCCAUAAAAGAAUUGCAUCGUAUGACACCAACGACCUUGACCUUGGCCUUGUGAUCCAACCAAAAAGCUACAGUGGACUCCAAAAGUGGUGUUAAACAUUGAGUAUAACUGUGUCCUUAACAGUAGAAGGAAAACAAGUUAUUAGGUAAAAGCAUUGACUACAAAGUCAAAGGCAACUAUAAUUCCUUGGCUUCCAGCACAUCAGAUAUAAUAUUUGCCCACCAAUGACUGCCUCACGUAGCCACACUGUAUAUUUUCAGAUCCUAGACGGGUGUCAAACAUACGGGCCGGUUCCCGGGAUGGUUUGAGUAUUUACUAUAUUUUUUAAUAGGACUUUAUCAUUAUUCUAUCAUUAUACUGAGUGGCGCAGCGGUUUAAGGCCCUGCAUCGCAGUGCUAGAGGCCCAGGUUCGACCCAGGUUCGAUCCCGGCUGUGAUCCGGAGUCCCUUAGGGCAUUGCACAAUUGGCCCAGUGUCGUCCAGGUUGGGGGAGGGUUUUGCCGGGGCAGGCCGUCAUUGUAAAUAAGAAUUUGUUCUUAACUGACUUGCCUGGUUAAAUAUAUACAGUAUAUAGUUUUUUAAAUUUGAUACUUUAAAAUGACAAAAAGCAAAUCCAAACUGUGUAGAAAUAAUACAGUUCCUUGACUGUGUCCAGCUCGCUAAUAAUAACAAAAAUGAAAACAAGACAGUCAGGGAGCAUAGAAAAUUCAAAAAACAAUGGAUAGAUUACGAUAAAAAAAAAAUUGAUGGCGAGGAAAUAUAACCAAUAUUCAGUGCGGCCCUCCAGACCUCAUUGACAAAAUUAGUUUGUGCUUGCAAUUUACUCUGGCGGAUCUGACACUGGAGGAUGACAUAAGAGGACUGAACAUUGCGUGAUGUAAACGGUGGUGUCGUUUAAUCACAAAAGGAUUGGGAGGGAGACGUUGGGGCUGAAUAUGAGUACUGUAGGCUCAGACAUUGACUUGCUGGAAUGUCUUCACCAUCUGUGAACCAGCGGCCCUAAAGCUCUGAGAGACAGAUGCGCAAGUAGAAACAGACCUGUAGAAACAGACCUGCCAUUAGCCAGGUAGCUAAUGUGGAACAUGCAAUACAGGACCCACAUCAGUAAAGGUAGAGCCUGGAAGUCUUCAUUUAAAGAGUAAUAUACUGACGUCUAUUGCACUGCUAACUGACGCCACACCAGAAAGCAGCGGUGUAGGGUGUCUUGGUAAGAUGUGAGGUAAAAAGUGACAAGCUUUACUUUCUAGGGAGAUAUGCUAUUUUGAGUGGGUUAUCACGUUCUUCUAGGGCAUCCUCAAACUCUUUCCCACUGAACCAAGUUUGGGGAUACAUUUUUUUUGAGACAAAUAUGAAAAGUUUGUACAGUCCAACUACCAAGGCACAUCAACAUGAUAGCCACCAACAAGCCCCAACAUGAAUAAUCUCCAGUAGAGACGAGGAGAGAGGAACAAGUCCCAUUUCAGAGAGGAUUCACCCCAUAAGCUUUAGAGACCUUUCUCUCAGAUGCGUUGCAAUGCCAGUUGAGGACCUGUUCCCAAUCAUUGGACGAGCCAGGGAAAGCCUAGUUUAAACGCUUCCAGAUCUCUUAUUUUAUCCCCCUGCAUCCAUCCCCAGCUGUAGCGCCGGCGAAACAAAAAUCUGCCUAAACUAGUCUUUUCCCCUCUCUCAAUCUUUUCCCCAAUCUCUCUCCCCUUGCUCUGCUCUGUAUCUAGUUUCUUUGUGGUCGCGAGUCAACUCCUGCCAUUUUAUGUCAUCACCCUCUGUCACUGAGACUGCAUUAGUGGCUAUGUCUAAACGAGGCUUUAAUGUACAGGACUAGGCCACAUAGAGCCAAAUAUAUAUCAAACUUUGAAGUUUGACAUCAACCGUGCUUGAUCGCAGAUGUCUAUAUAGGCAGGAGGGUUCACUGGUUUAGAUGAAAGACUCUCCAUUGCUGACACUUAAUAUUUAUGUUCCAUAUGUACUAUAUAAAUAUCUUGUCUAGUUCUCUCUCAGUCAAAUGUUAAGAAAUGUGUGUGUUUUGUUGGGCAAUCUGGGAUAAAAACAAAUCAAUCUUUGUAUACAAGCCAUGUCUUUUCUAUGUCAUUUGUUUCUAUUGAGGCAUGGCAGCAUUAUUUCAUUGCUCUCUAAAUUGCAAGAAAUUGCAAGAAAUAAAUCUUGGACACAUCAAUGUUGAUGGAGAGCAUGCUAAUAUUACAGUUGUUUUUUAAUCAAAUCCUGGGACAAAAACAAAUUACUUUGAUUUAAAACAGACAGGAAAUGUAAUAAUGAAAAAAAAAGAGACUUAUUUUGAUAUAUGUUUUGGCUGUACUCCAUGUUUUCCAACUGUUUGGCCUUUCGAUACAGACUUUGUUGCUGCUGUCAAAGCUAUACUUCUGUCCAAAGAUGUUGAUGCCUCAGAUAACAUCUCGAAGCAGAAUCUGGUUUGGUGCCUCCAAAGGCUUAACCCUCCGAACAUGCCAAAUCCUACAAGUAUACUGACCAAUACAACUCAUCAAUUGCAUAAUUUGGAUUGGUUUAACAUUGAAUAAACCACCACUAACAGGGACCAAAUGUAACAUUAGCAUCCUGCUCUGGUUUCCAACCUAUGACAAGAACCAUGCUUGAAGAACUGAGACUGAGGGAACCUCCAAGUCUCCAAGUUCUAGCUAGCUCCAGUUGAUCAGUGCUAGACCGGCAUAUGGGCUGGAUCAGAAAACACAAGCUCAAUGAUGUUACUACCAUCUGACCCCAGGGUGACAGGUUUAGGGAAUUUGCCUCAGUCCAAAGUCAAAUAUGUUUAUGUUGUGGAUUUCAUUUUAACAAAUUGUUUGUUAGUGCUGCUUCACCCCAAAAAUGUUUGCAGCUGUUUUUAAAGCAGUAGUCAUUACUUAAUGAUGUUACCAUUGUUGCUAUAUCUAUUUUGUGUGGAACUUUACUGCUCCCAAACUGUGUUUGUGUAACAAAAUCUGUGCAAUAAAUGUCAAUUAUUUUCUG